GGGGGCGUACUGGUUUCGACGGGGACUAGGAAGCAGGAUAAGCGGGUGGCGGCGCCCAGCCGCCUUAAAAUGGGCAACUUAUAAAUUAAAGAACAACGAUAACGUCGUUCUCGCCGCUGCUUAAUGCGGCCGUCCCUGCCGGAAGGACCACGAGCCGGCCGGGGCGUCAUCUUAGUGGUGCCCGUGCGUACGGAAAGAGUUGACCGUGCCACGCAUCAUGACUCUACCAACCUUCGCAGUGUGACGAUUCACGGCGUGGGAAGGGAAUGUAAAUAACCGUCUGCACCCGGAGAAAGUCCUGUGGAAUGGUUUUCGGACAGGGGUUCGACUCCCCUCGCCUCCACCA
rnacentral:tmRNA from 1 species